AAUCGAGCGCCUUUGAUUUCUCCUCUCUAUAAAUAGACAUCUUAUCAUCAUAUCUCUUCAUGAUAGAACAGUUUGAUUCCCAUAUCAUAGGAAUUAGUUAUCGAUUCUGAAGCUAGCUACAAGUCUCGGGUAAUAAUUAAGCCCGAUCAGAGCUAAUCAGCCAUGGUUGGGAGAAAAGCUGCCAUUUGUUUCGUCUUGAUGCUUCUGUUAUCACUUGGGAAUUCUAUACCAACACCUAUAGAUACUUGUACGCAAUCUGUUUCCAUAUUGCCGAUCUGCGUGGGUUUCACAUGCAAGUACCACUGUUGGGUUUUCUCGAAAUUCACCAAAGGCAAAGCCAUUGAUCACAAGUGCUUGGGAAAAGGUUACAAGACAAAAUGUUACUGCUUGAUUUGCAGGAAAUAGUAGCACUGAAGAUGAGAUGUUGCCGGGGUCAAUGAUUUGCUAGAGUCUUUAGUUAGGUUAUUAGCUAGUCUGGUCGAAUAAUUGAUUUGUGCUAAUUUUUUUGGUAAUAGGGUGAUUGAUUAUUUCAAUUUCAAAUAAUAAUAUAUUAUCUUGCUA